CCUUCCCAAAAAAAACACACUUUUUCUAUCUCUCUAUACGCUCUUCUUCCUCUCUCUCUCUCACCCUUUCUCUGUACUUCCCUCCAUAUAAAUUUUGUCCUAUCUGCAAAAGCACUCAUAGCAAGACUUCACAAUUUUUGACCAACAAAGUUCCAAACCAAGUCCAAAGGUUCACCGAUCAGGUACUAAGUUUUUGCCCUUCUGAUUGAUUUGUCAUAAUUCCAAAAAUCCCCCUACAAAAUUCUCUAAGCAGAAACCAAUGGCUGUCUAAUUGGAUUUCAGUUUCAAGGUCAUCAAAGUUGUUGGUCAACAUACUGUACUCAUGGGUCUAUCUGUUGGGAACUAGAUUGCUUGAAGGGAUGAAACGAUAAGUGUUUUUCCUUGAAUCAUCUUUUUGGGUUGCUUUGAAUUAACUUAUUUUUUAGGUCUUCUGUUGGUGUUGCAUGACACAUGUUUGAUGAAAUUCCUUUUAAAUUUAAUAUGAGAUCUUUUCAUUCAACUUUUUCUUUUUUCCAUCCUCAUGUUGUGCUAUCUGAGUAGCUAUACCAUGGUUGUAAAAAAGUUAAAAUUUUAAUGGAAUCUAUUAAUUUGGUUAUAAUAGAAAACUUUCUUAUAAAAUUUUUUUAAAUCUAAAAUUUCAUGUUCUUUUGGUGUUACAUGAAUUAUGUUCGAUGAAUUAUGCAAUUUUUAUCUAUUCAAGAUAAUUACAUCAAACUUAGGCAUCUACAUCCCAUUGUGGAUUUCCAUAGCAGGUAUGUAAGCGAUUUUGCUGCUAACUUUGAGCUUUAAUAUUUUUGGACUUCAAUGGGGACUGCUAGAUGGAAUCUAACAUAAGUUUUCAUUUUUAAUGUUUUGAGGCAUGAGGAGUACUUUUAGAAUUGUGAUCAUGCACUUGAAUUUAUUGUCUAUAUGAAGAGGCAAUUUACCCAAUUCAAUUUCUUAAUGCUUUAGAAUUUAUGAAAAAGAAAAUCUUAAUGCUUUAAUACUUUUGCCUUUUGUUGGAUUCACAAAAUCCUAUUGAUCACAGGCGUUGAAUUUUUGUGUAUAAGGUUUUCGUUGUAAUCAAUUUCUUGGCUUAGUUGGUUUGCAGCAGUUUUGUUGCUUUUGGGAUUUAUGCAAAACCAAUCUUUUCUAUCCUGGUUUUCACAGCUUCCUUAAAAUAUGUAUUGUCAUUAUAUGUCAUUCUAUUUAUUUGUUUCUGCUGCAGUGGCAACAGAAUGGCGGGAGGUGAAUGUGGUGACAGAUUACAUUCUAAAG